rnacentral:rRNA from 1 species
CCUACGGGGUGCAGCAGUGGGGAAUAUUGCGCAAUGGGCGAAAGCCUGACGCAGCGACGCCGCGUGAGGGAUGAAGGUCUUCGGAUCGUAAACCUCUGUCAGCAGGGAAGAACGGUCACUGUGCUAAUCAGCAGUGAAUUGACGGUACCUGCAAAGGAAGCACCGGCUAAAUCCGUGCCAGCCGCCGCGGUAAUACGGAGGGUGCGAGCGUUAAUCGGAAUUACUGGGCGUAAAGCGCUCGUAGGCGGUAUGUCAAGUCAAGGGUGAAAUCCCCGCGCUCAACGUGGGAACUGCCUUUGAAACUGGCAAACUGGAGUGUGUGAGAGGAUAGUGGAAUUCCAGGGGUAGGAGUGAAAUCCGUAGAUAUCUGGAGGAACAUCAGUGGCGAAGGCGACUAUCUGGCACAUAACUGACGCUGAGGAGCGAAAGCGUGGGUAGCAAACAGGAUUAGAUACCCGAGUAGUC